rnacentral:rRNA from 1 species
GACGAACGCUGGCGGCGUGCUUAACACAUGCAAGUCGAGCGCUGAAGCCUUCGGGUGGAUGAGCGGCGAACGGGUGAGUAACACGUGGGUGACCUGCCCCUCACUCUGGGAUAAGCCUGGGAAACUGGGUCUAAUACCGGAUAUGACCUUCGAUCGCAUGGUUGUUGGUGGAAAGUUUUUCGGUGGGGGAUGGGCCCGCGGCCUAUCAGCUUGUUGGUGGGGUGAUGGCCUACCAAGGCGACGACGGGUAGCCGGCCUGAGAGGGCGACCGGCCACACUGGGACUGAGACACGGCCCAGACUCCUACGGGAGGCAGCAGUGGGGAAUAUUGCGCAAUGGGCGAAAGCCUGACGCAGCGACGCCGCGUGGGGGAUGACGGCCUUCGGGUUGUAAACCUCUUUCGCCAGGGACGAAUCAAGACGGUACCUGGAUAAGAAGCACCGGCCAACUACGUGCCAGCCGCCGCCGUAACAC